AGAGUUUGAUCCUGGCUCAGAACGAACGCUGGCGGCGUGCCUAACACAUGCAAGUCGAGCGAGAAAGGGGGGGCAACCCUCUGAGUAGAGCGGCGCACGGGUGAGUAACGCGUGGGUAACCUACCCCCAGGCGGGGGAUAACUACUCGAAAGGGUGGCUAAUACCGGAUGAUGCUCGACYUGCCACRWGAGDGUCGYGAGGAAAGGAUAGCUUCGGCCUCCGCAUCUGGGAUGGGCCCGCGGCCCAUUAGCUUGUUGGUGRGGUAACGGCYYACCAAGGCKACGAUGGGUAGCUGGUCUGAGAGGACGAUCAGCCACACUGGGACUGAGACACGGCCCAGACUCCUACGGGAGGCAGCAGUGGGGAAUCUUGCGCAAUGCGCGAAAGCGUGACGCAGCAACGCCGCGUGGGGGAAGAMGGCCUUCGGGUUGUAAACCCCUUUCAGUUGGGACGAAGCUUCGUSCGGUKAAUAGCCGGCUGGAGUGACGGUACCUUCASAAGAAGCCCCGGCUAACUACGUGCCAGCAGCCGCGGUAAUA
rnacentral:rRNA from 1 species